UGAUGACGAGACGCUAAGGCGUUGAAGCAGUGUAUGUCAGACUUCCAAGAAAAGCUCGCAAUGUCACAAAUAAGAAAUGCCUGUACCAUAACCGACACAGGUGGGUAGGUAGAGUAUACUAAGGGGCGCGAGAUAACUCUCUCUAAGGAACUCGGCAAAAUGACUCCGUAACUUCGGGAGAAGGAGUGCCUUAUUUAUAAGGUUGCAAUAACAAGAUCCAAGCAACUGUUUAUCAAAAACACAGGUCUCCGCUAAGUCGUAAGACGAUGUAUGGGGGCUGACGCCUGCCCAGUGCCAGAAGGUUAAAGAAGUUGGUUAGUGUAUGCGAAGCUGAUGACUGAAGCCCUGGUGAACGGCGGCCGUAACAAUAACGGUCCUAAGGUAGCGAAAUUCCUUGUCGGGUAAGUUCCGACCCGCACGAAAGGCGUAAUGAUUUGGAUACUGUCUCGGAGAGAGGCUCGGUGAAAUAGACUUGUCUGUGAAGAUGCGGACUACCUGCACCAGGACAGAAAGACCCUAUGAAGCUUUACUGUAACUUGAAAUUGGAAUUGGACUUUGCUUGCGCAGUAUAGGUGGGAAGCGUUGAAAAUAUUCUUGCGGGAGUAUUGGAGCUAUCAGUGAGAUACCACUCUUGUAAUGUUAGAUUUCUAACUUUGAACCAUAAUCUGGUCAAAGAACAGUUUCAGGUGGGCAGUUUGACUGGGGCGGUCGCCUCCCAAAUGGUAACGGAGGCGUACAGAGGUUUCCUCUGAACGGAUAGAAAUCGUAUCUAGAGUGUAAAGGCAUAAGGAAGCUUGACUGUGAGACCUACAAGUCGAGCAGGGACGAAAGUCGGUCUUAGUGAUCUGACGGUACUGAGUGGAAAGGCCGUCACUCAACGGAUAAAAGUUACUCUAGGAUAACAGGCUGAUCUCCCCCAAGAGUUCACAUCGACGGGGAGGUUUGGCACCUCGAUGUCGGCUCAUCGCAUCCUGGGGCGGUAGUACGUCCCAAGGGUUGGGCUGUUCGCCCAUGAAAGCGGUACGCGAGCUGGGUUCAGAACGUCGUGAGACAGUUCGGUCCAUAUCCGGUGUAGGCGCUAGAAUAUUGAGAGGAGCCUUCUUUAGUACGAGAGGACCGAGAAGGACACACCGCUGGUGUACCAGUUAUCGUGCCAACGGUAAACGCUGGGUAGCUAUGUGUGGAGUGGAUAACCGCUGAAAGCAUCUAAGUGGGAAGCCCACCUCGAGAUGAG
rnacentral:rRNA from 1 species